rnacentral:rRNA from 1 species
UACGUAGGGUGCAAGCGUUGUCCGGAAUUAUUGGGCGUAAAGAGCGUGUAGGCGGCCCGAUUAGUCCGCUGUGAAAGUCCAGGGCUCAACCCUGGAAUGCCGGUGGAUACUGUCGGGCUAGAGUCCGGAAGGGGCGAGUGGAAUUCCUGGUGUAGCGGUGAAAUGCGCAGAUAUCAGGAGGAACACCAAUGGCGAAGGCAGCUCUCUGGUACGUGACUGACGCUGAGACGCGAAAGCGUGGGGAGCAAACAGG